UAACUAUCUGCUUUUAUAGUUUCUCUGAUGUUGGCUUCGGUUACCCAUAACUGGGGGUCGUGCUUGGCUGCCAACUCACUGAGCAACUUCCUCUGUUUAAACAGAAUAUAUAAGCCUUACUCUUUUCCAGAGUUCAUGACUCUUUUGUAAAGUGUUUUAUGAUACAGUUGUUACAGAAUCCACCAUCACAGUAACAGCUCCAGACAAGGCCUCGCUGUGGGCCUGGCUUCCAGCCCACUUCCUUGAAUGGAGGUUUUUCCAUCGCUAUCAGCGGAUGAAUAAAUACAUCAAACUGCAGCACACACCCCCACUGCAGGAACAAGGCCACGGGGGCUUGGGGGGACAUGUCUAGUCGUUGUUUUCUCAGAAUCAGAGAUCGUGAAUCCAGCCCCGUGCAGAGGAUCCUGAAGGCCUGAGUGCCUUUGAGGCCCUUCAAACACAGCUUUUUCAGAGGGUCUUAGCAGCGGUGCUCAGCACACGAGGCCUGUGAAGUCACAUAAACCUCCCACACAUCUGUUCUGUGCCUUACAUCCCUCACUUCUGUUUGUGUGAGGUUUAACAGUGACUGCUCCGGACUGAGAGCAGCCCGUGCAGCGUGAUCCAUCCUUUUAUCACGGCGUUGGGUCAGGUCAGCUCAAUAAGUGAUGGUGGCCUUGUGGUAGUAAAUGAUCUCCAAAGUGCAGCUUCUUCUGCACUUCAGGGCACAGAUUUCCCACAAAGGAAAUGGGAGUGCUCGGGAGAUGGUGCCGGUGGAACCAGCAGAGGAAAAAGUUCAACACAAACAUCUUCUUCGCUUUCUAAAAUCCGUGGGCUGAGGUGUUCCACCUGCCAGGUGGAAACACAGACCAGAAAAAUCACAGCAAGUUCCUGGAAAGUAGGAACAGAGCAGGAGCAGGCCCAAGAGGAGGUGUCACACCUGCCAAGUCACCCAGCCAGGAGCAAACUUGGUUUUGGACUCCCAGAAAGACAUGCAGCUGAACUGGCAUGAGGGGCCGAUGUGCUGGUGGCAAAAGGGACCUUCCUUGGCCCUUUAUGGAUUCCUUUCUACCACAGACACAGAAUGGCUGGGUGAGUUCUGGAUGAGCAAAGAAUGCGGAACACAAGUGGUGAUGGACAGUUAGAACUUGAACAUUUGGGCACAUCCUCCCUUGGCAUGGCUGCUGGGGGAACCGUAACACUUUACAGCUCCUAAGAGACUUCACAGACAUUCCUUCUUUAUUGUACAACUAAAAAUAGCCCAGUGCUUUGGCUUGGGUUGUUUUUAGAGGUGGGCAGGCCUUUCCCAGUCAAAUACAGCAGUGAUAAUGAAUGCUGAGUGCUGGCAAUGCCAGAGAAUUUGUCAUGGACAGCCUUCCCUCUCCUCUUGCCUGCUGGCCUUUCUGACAAAUUCAGGACACUAUUUUUUGAGGUGUCCAACUGCUUACAGCUUCUAUCCCUCCAUAAUGAAGGCUGGGGGUCGGACACAUUUCCCUGUGAGCCACUCAGAAAGAGCAAAUGAACUGGGGAACUCAAACAAUUCCAAGCAGGGUAAGAGAGAUCUGUCUUCCCUCAAUGCACAUGCCAAACAAAUAGCCUGACAUCAUCUUCAUUCACCACACAAAAUCUAUAGCAAGAGCAAACACCCUUUUCCUUCCUCUUGGUUCAGCUUUAACAGUGCAGAACUUAAUCCUAACUCGCCACAGGAGAGAUGGUCUGUGUGUAUUUUCCUCUUCCUGUUCUUCUAUAAAUAAGCUGAGUUUUGCAUCAUUGUCUAUUAAAGCAUCACUGGUUUUUUUUUCCUUAACUCUGGGACAGACAAACUGGACAGGAUGUAGGGCUUGGUACUGUUAUUUACAGCAAGUCCUUAACUCUGCAAGCAAAGUGGUGCUGAAUCCAAAUGAGGACAUCAAAUGUGGAUCCUAAGGAGACCUGUACCUUUGGAAUAUGAAUAACCCUGCAAGAGUAUUAAAUCUGGAUUCUCCUGA